CCUACGGGAGGCAGCAGUGGGGAAUAUUGGGCAAUGGGCGCAAGCCUGACCCAGCAACGCCGCGUGAAGGAAGAAGGCUUUCGGGUUGUAAACUUCUUUUGUCAGGGAAGAGUAGAAGACGGUACCUGACGAAUAAGCCACGGCUAACUACGUGCCAGCAGCGGCGGUAAUACGUAGGUGGCAAGCGUGGUCCGGAUUUACUGGGUGUAAAGGGCGUGUAGCCGGGUUGACAAGUCAGAUGUGAAAUCCUGCGGCUUAACCGCAGAACUGCAUUUGAAACUGUUGAUCUUGAGUACUGGAGAGGCAGACGGAAUUCCUAGUGUAGCGGUGAAAUGCGUAGAUAUUAGGAGGAACACCAGUGGCGAAGGCGGUCUGCUGGACAGCAACUGACGGUGAGGCACGAAAGCGUGGGGAGCAAACAGGAUUAGAUACCCUUGUAGUC
rnacentral:rRNA from 1 species